rnacentral:ncRNA from 1 species
CGAGUGCGUGAAGUCGGAAUCGCUAGUAAUCGCAGAUCAGCAUGCUGCGGUGAAUACGUUCCCGGGUCUUGUACACACCGCCCGUCACACCAUGGGAGUGAGUUUCACCAGAAGUGGGUAGGCUAACCGCAAGGAGGCCGCUUACCACGGUGGAUUCAUGACUGGGGUGAAGUCGUAACAAGUAGCCGUAGGGAACCUGCGGCUGGAUCACCUCCUUU